ACGGGUGUGGUGAAUUAAACAGGGGACUGUGAAGGAGACGCUAGUCAUGUGAUGAAUCAGAUAAUAAGGUUUGUAGUUUGUUAGUUUGUUAGGAUCUUGAGAAAUGAAGCUUGUGUAAUUAUUGAUUUCCAUUUAUGAUAUGAUUUCCUGAUGAUCAUGGGAAAUUGUGUUCAUGGCUUCAACUCAAUAUGGUAGAGGUACGACAAGCUUCAUGUAGCUAAAAAGUGAAAUUGAAACGAAAUGACGAAGUGACGAAAGAAAAAAAAAUUGGAAAAAAGUAGAGGAGGAGACAGACAAAUGAGAGGAGUGAGACAGACCAAGAGAGAAGUGUAAAACACAGGUUAGAAGAGUUGCACGCUGGGACAGCCCAACGAGAGAAGAAAUGCACUGCAGUGGGACCUUUUUUCAUCUCCUCUGGAUACUUGCUAAUGCUUAUCCCAGUUUUUCAUUUGAAGCAUCGGUUGGAGAGGAUGUAGUGCUGAACUGCACCACAGAAGAUUUGGAGGGAAAGAACUUACGUGUAAAAUGGAGGUUUGGGCUGAAGACUAUUUUGGAGCGGACCAACACGACAGUUUGUGUUACAAAUUCCUUUGAGGGACGAGCAGACAUUCCACAGGAGUGGUUCUCACAGAGAAACUGUUCACUUAAACUUUCUAACAUCACUAAGAGUGACCAUGGUAACUACACAUAUGAAGUGUGGGUAGAGGGUUCAAACAAGAAGGUACAUGAAGGAAAAGUGACACUCAAAG